UGGGGAAUAUUGGACAAUGGGGGAAACCCUGAUCCAGCAAUACCGCGUGGGUGAAGAAGGCCUUCGGGUUGUAAAGCCCUUUAGGCGGGGAAGAAGAUUUUAGGGUGAUAAGCCCUAGAAUUUGACGGUACCCGCAGAAUAAGCACCGGCUAACUCUGUGCCAGCAGCCGCGGUAAUACAGAGGGUGCGAGCGUUAAUCGGAUUUAUUGGGCGUAAAGGGUGCGUAGGUGGUAAAGCAAGUAAGAUGUGAAAGCCCUGGGCUUAACCUGGGAAGUGCAUCUUAAACUGCUUAACUAGAGUAUGGUAGAGGGUAGUGGAAUUUCCGGUGUAGCGGUGAAAUGCGUAGAUAUCGGAAGGAACGCCAGUGGUGAAGACGACUACCUGGACCAAUACUGACACUGAGGCACGAAAGCGUGGGGAUCAAACAGG
rnacentral:rRNA from 1 species